rnacentral:RNase_P_RNA from 2 species
CUGAUUGAAAGUCGACUUUAGGAAUUUCAUACAAAUGCUCGUCAUUUAAAAUUGUUCCUGGGAAGGUCUGAGAAAAAGCCCUUGGCUUCGGUCAAUACUCUCUAGGAGGGGGAUUUUCGUAAAGAAAUUGGUUCCGUACUAGAAAAUAGAUCCUUGUAAGUAACGUUUAAGACACGAAGUUUCCUCGGAAAUGGAUUUGGUUAUUUACAAGUUUGGAAACGGCGCCGGUGCUAGCUUGUAUGAGUUCGAUAGUUGAUGAAAGUUCUUCGGAACUUAAAACCCAAUUCAGACUACUCUUCGAUCAG